AUUGAACGCUGGCGGCAUGCUUUACACAUGCAAGUCGAACGGCAGCGCGGGCUUCGGCCUGGCGGCGAGUGGCGAACGGGUGAGUAAUUCAUCGGAACGUGCCCAGUAUUUGGGGAUAGCCCGGCGAAAGCCGGAUUAAUACCGCAUACGACCUGAUGGUGAAAGCGGGGGACCGAAAGGCCUCGCGCUAUUUGAUCUGCCGAUGUCGGAUUAGCUAGUUGGUGGGGUAAAGGCUUACCAAGGCGACGAUCCGUAGCUGGUCUGAGAGGACGACCAGCCACACUGGGACUGAGACACGGCCCAGACUCCUACGGGAGGCAGCAGUGGGGAAUUUUGGACAAUGGGGGCAACCCUGAUCCAGCCAUGCCGCGUGCGGGAAGAAGGCCUUCGGGUUGUAAACCGCUUUUGUUCGGGAAGAAAUCCUGUGGGCUAAUACCCCGGGGGGAUGACGGUACCGGAAGAAUAAGCAACGGCUAACUACGUG
rnacentral:rRNA from 1 species